AUGUACUGGUGGUCAACAGUACUGGUACCACGAAAGUGUAGUAUCUGUUCUUAUCAGCUUAAUAUCUGAUACGAUCCCCAUGUGGGAUCCUCGAUAUUAAACUGAUUUUUGCAACAUGGCGAAGUGCUAGGAGCUUGCUCCACCUUUGCCGCGGAUCGGCCCGGUAUUGCAGUACCUCUAGAGAGAGAGAGAGAGA